rnacentral:rRNA from 1 species
UACGUAGGGGGCAAGCGUUGUCCGGAUUUAUUGGGCGUAAAGAGCGUGUAGGCGGCUAGGUAGGUCCGUUGUGAAAACUCGAGGCUCAACCUCGAGACGCCGGUGGAAACCAUCUAGCUAGAGUCCGGAAGAGGAGAGUGGAAUUCCUGGUGUAGCGGUGAAAUGCGUAGAUAUUGGGAGGAACACCAGUGGCGAAGGCGGCUCACUGGACCGGAACUGACGCUGAGGCGCGAAAGCGUGGGGAGCAAACAGG